rnacentral:rRNA from 1 species
GACGAACGCUGGCGGCGUGCCUAAUACAUGCAAGUCGAGCGGACUUUCAAGAAGCUUGCUUUUUGAAAGUUAGCGGCGGACGGGUGAGUAACACGUGGGCAACCUGCCUGCAAGACGGGGAUAACUCCGGGAAACCGGGGCUAAUACCGGAUAAUAUCUUCCUUCGCAUGAAGGAAGGUUGAAAGGCGGCGCAAGCUGCCGCUUGCAGAUGGGCCCGCGGCGCAUUAGCUAGUUGGUGAGGUAACGGCUCACCAAGGCGACGAUGCGUAGCCGACCUGUGAGGGUGAGCGGCCACACUGGGACUGAGACACGGCCCAGACUCCUACGGGAGGCAGCAGUAGGGAAUCUUCCGCAAUGGACGAAAGUCUGACGGAGCAACGCCGCGUGAGCGAAGAAGGUCUUCGGAUCGUAAAGCUCUGUUGUCAGGGAAGAACAAGUACCGUUCGAACAGGGCGGUACCUUGACGGUACCUGACCAGAAAGCCACGGCUAACUACGUG